rnacentral:lncRNA from 12 species
AUGAAUCACUUCUAUGACCCCACAUCAGGCCCAAAGUCUCUGCACAGAACGGAAACUGGAAUGUCGACGGGAGGUGCUGGGAGAAUCUCUGGGGAAGAGCCAGUUCCUGGUUUCUCCUGCCUUGCUCCUUCUUCGAUACCUCUCCCAUCACCAGAUUACACAAUUUCUUGUGCCUGUGGCCAUUUCCCCCUGAGCUCAUGUUCUUCCCUAAUUCAAUUAGUUCUGGGUUCCCCCUUUCACUUUUAUUUUCCCUAUUGACACUCAGUACGUUCCCCAGUUAGCUGAAGGAAAGUCAGUGUGUUCUGCACUCCUAACUUUCCAUGUCUGUGUCUCUGAAUGUCUGAGGGAGGUAACACCACUGGAGGAUUCGCCCCACACUCCAGCCAGGAGGAACUUCCAUAGUUGUAAAUCCUCCUCAGUACCUGGGAACCAGAGCAAAAGGACAACCAAACUGGCAUUAUAGGGACGGCUCCGUGUGUCUGGGAAGAUGCCAAGCUGAGAACAGGGGUGAAGACAUGACGCGCCCAAGGAGCAAAAGUCUUCCAGUCUCCGUGAGUGAGAUGGUCCAUCUGUGGAAAGGAAACCACCUUUGAAGGUUUGCUUUGUCCUCUCCUGUGACCCUGCUGUCCCCAACUGCUGUUUGGGGUGAUCUGAGAGGCUGUGGGCUAGGAGAUCACCCACAGGUGAGGACACACUUGGACACUGGGUGCUCCCAGGUCUAGGAGUGGAGAAACCUCCUUCCUGCCCACCUGUCUAGGUGUCUGCGGCAGGAUAGGAUUCCGUGGAGACAGUCAUCCAGACAGACCUCGGGUUUCUGAGUGAUCCUUUUCUGACCCUGCCCUUUGUUUUCAGCAUCUCCUUAGGGCCCUUUAUCAGUCAUCCCGCAGACAGACCCAGGGAGGCACCUGGAAACGCGAGGAGGGAUGGUGGGCGGUUCUGAGACCACUAGGUGUCCUCUGGAAGUGAGCAAGCACCUUCUGCAUGGCUGGGGGCCGGGCCGGACUCUAGGACAGUCACCACCUUAAGUAGGUGAGGGCAGGAGCAGAACUGGGGACAGGGGAAUGGGGGAACUAGGUUCUGUGACCUCAGGGGGUAGAGGCAGGCUGAUGCUCCCUUCGGAAAGCCAGGGUCCUCCUCCUGGGGCUGGCGACCCUCAGGCCGCCUCACUCAGGGACAGUGCGGCGGCACCGCCCCAUAACGUCGCAAGGAGNNNNNNNNNNGCCCCUGCCUUUUGUUU